GAUUUCUGGCUUGAAACAUUUUGCCGGCCACGGUUUCGUGUGUUGGUGCUUGAUGUUCUGGCCAUCCUUCCAAUCGCUAUUCACCUUUCUUCAUUGAUUGGUGAGUGGUAUUGGAUCUUUUACUUUGAAAAAAUUAGAGUGCUUCAAGCAGGCUUUAUGCUAUGAAUACAUUAGCAUGGAAUAAUAAUUUAGGACUUCGGUUCUAUUUUGUUGGUUUCUAGGACUGAAGUAAUGAUUGAUAGGGACAGUUGGGGGUGCUAGUAUUCAGCGGCCAGAGGUGAAAUUCUCGGAUUCGCUGAAGACUAACUUAUGCGAAAGCAUU
rnacentral:rRNA from 1 species